rnacentral:ncRNA from 1 species
AAGCGUUCUCAGGGCGGGGUGGAAUUCCCCACCGGCGGUGAUGGGCCUCGUGUCCUCAGCCCGCGAGCGCCUGCCCUCGGGCAGGGUCAGCAGAUCCGGUGCAACUCCGGGGCCGACGGUCACAGUCCGGAUGAAAGAGACCGCGU